UCCGGUUUGUCACCGGCAGUCUCACUAGAGUGCCCGUUUCCGUAGCAACUAGUGACAAGGGUUGCGCUCGUUGAUGGACUUAACCAAACAUCUCACGACACGAGCUGACGACGGCCAUGCAUCAUCUGUCACUUGGUUCAAUAAAGCACUCUCUCCUUUCGGAGAAAUUCCAAGGAUGUCAAGCCCUGGUAAGGUUCUUCGUUUAGCAUCGAAUUAAAGAACAUGAUCCACCGCUUGUGCGGGUCCCCGUCAAUUCCUUUAUGUUUUAGUCUUGCGACCGUACUCCACAGGCGGGAUACUUAACGCGUUAGCUUCGCUACUGAAGGGGUCGAUACCACCAACAGCUAGUAUCCAUCGUUUACGGCGUGGACUAC
rnacentral:misc_RNA from 1 species